AUUGAACGCUGGCGGCAUGCCUUACACAUGCAAGUCGAACGGCAGCAUGGAAGAGCUUUGCUCUUCUGAUGGCGAGUGGCGGACGGGUGAGUAAAGCAUCGGAACGUACCGUGUAAUGGGGGAUAACGUAGCGAAAGUUACGCUAAUACCGCAUACGACCUGAGGGUGAAAGCAGGGGAUCGCAAGACCUUGCGUUAUACGAGCGGCCGAUGUCAGAUUAGCUAGUUGGUAGGGUAAAGGCCUACCAAGGCGACGAUCUGUAGCGGGUCUGAGAGGAUGAUCCGCCACACUGGGACUGAGACACGGCCCAGACUCCUACGGGAGGCAGCAGUGGGGAAUUUUGGACAAUGGGGGAAACCCUGAUCCAGCCAUGCCGCGUGAGUGAAGAAGGCCU
rnacentral:rRNA from 1 species